AGUGAACGCUGGCGGUAGGCCUAACACAUGCAAGUCGAACGGCAGCACAGUAAGAGCUUGCUCUUACGGGUGGCGAGUGGCGGACGGGUGAGGAAUACAUCGGAAUCUACUUUUUCGUGGGGGAUAACGUAGGGAAACUUACGCUAAUACCGCAUACGACCUACGGGUGAAAGCAGGAGAUCUUCGGACCUUGCGCGAUUGAAUGAGCCGAUGUCGGAUUAGCUAGUUGGCGGGGUAAAGGCCCACCAAGGCGACGAUCCGUAGCUGGUCUGAGAGGAUGAUGAGCCACACUGGAACUAAGACACGGACCAGACUCCUACGGGAGGCAGCAUUGGGGAAUAUUGGACAAUGGGCGGAAGCCUGAUCCAGCCAUACCGCGUGGGUGAAGAAGGCCUUCGGGUUGUAAAGCCCUUUUGUUGGGAAAGAAAAGCAGCAGGUUAAUACCCCGCUGUUCUGACGGUACCCAAUAAAUAAGCACCGGCUAACUUCGUG
rnacentral:rRNA from 1 species